CCAUCACCCAUAAGCUUUGUGACUUUCAGCGUACAUGGUGGUUGGCCACCGCAGAAUGUCUUGCAUCUACUGGUGAAAAUGUUGGACGAUGCCGGAAGCUUGCGGUCUGUUGCUCUGAACAACUGGUGCUCAGAACUUUGAGGACGAGGAGGAUGUGGUUGCUUUCAUAAAGAUCAAGAAAUGGAAAAAUAUUUCACUCCGGUUCACAAACCCAUGCAGGAGGAGAUCCAACUUACAAAGAAGAAACAUCACAAGGGAGCUAAAAGUCAUAUUCCAGGUCAAAAACCUUCUAGUAGCAGAAACAUUCACCACCAUGGACAGCACAAUGAUUACCAUCAACAUUUUAACCAAGAGGUUCAUGAAAACCAGCAAAGCCAUCAUCGCAGUUUGUCAAGAGCUUCUUCCUCAACUACGUCCUCUUCUUCCAUGACAUCUUCAUCUUCUUGGUCCUCGGAACCAAACCUAGAUAACGAGACGUACCUAACGCAUGGAAGUAAGCCGCAGUAUUCCUUCUCGUGCUCCAACAUCCCAGAGGCUGGGAGAAAAUUUCAGGAUGAGGACUCUGAGGAUGUGGACUUUGACUUGAGGUCGCCGACACCGUUCUACCAGCGUUCGCAGCAGCACCAGCAACAGUCCCAACAAUGCCACCAGGGCUCAGAGCGUGCGCCAAGAUUCUCUAAGCUCCACCGGGGCCACAGCAGGAGCGAGGAAGGUCUACUCCAAGAAGGAGCCAGGGUUCAAGGUGGGCGAGAGAGAAAGGCCCACGUUGAGCAUGGACACCUCUACAAGACCGCCAGUCUAGGACGCAGCUUGGCCUUCAGCGAUGACGCUGAGAUAGCUCUAGGUGUGGGGAAGCCCAAGAAAGCUGUUUCUUCCAUUCAGCUUCCCAGUAAGGGCAUCUUGAAGAACAAAGAUGGGGGGUUGGCAGCAAACCAGAGGCCAAAUUUCCGCAAGGCAAAGUCCAUGGAGGUGCUGUCGACUCGGGUCCAAGUGACAGGUCCAGGAGGUGGAGGGGCACCAGGCCCUCUUAAAUCUGGAGGUGUGGAGGCCAGAAGGGAGAACAUAGUGAAGGAGAAGAUCCAGUUCUCUGCGUUUCUGGAUGAGAUAACGAGGCAAGUCAUAAGUCCUUCAAGGCUAAACUCAUUUGGGGUGACCUCAGGUCCGCCUUUGCCAAAAUCGCAUGAGGAACAAAAAGAUCCUCUUGGCGGAAUGAAGAAGAAAGAUGAGGAUGGGCCACAAGCAGCUAAACCACAACCACGCAGGCCCAGCAAUCCGAGUCCUGCUGCUGAUCUACAUUUACGGCGUGGAUCACAUCCAGGAAAACUUCUUCCUGACAACCGGCGGACCGACAGUCCAAACAACCUGAGCAACUCCAGACACAAGCGCCGCAGUAGCCAGGACAUGCACCACUCUGUAGAGGAAGGGAUGGGUUGUCGAAGAGAUACAAAGCACCGGGCUAGAUACAGCCAGCUGGUCACCGAUGGCACCUCCACCAGCCCCGAACCGGUCCUAUCAGAGUCCAAACGUCAUCACCCAAGACAACGCGGUGGAAGCCGUGGCUCCAGCUCCUUUCACCAUCCCCGUGGAGACCACCAAGGCUCACCCCCUCCUCCAGGUCACACUGCAGGGCCAGAAUGCGAGUCCCCUUCUAGCAAAUCCUCCACAGCAAGUCCGAGUUCGGAGCAAGGCGAUGGGAAAAAAUAUUCUGGUCAAAGAAGACACUCGAAGCAACACAGAGAUUCAGUAUCAGCUGCUGACAGAGUUCAGUUGCUAGAGCAAUAUAACAAGGAGCUUCAUGAGAAUCUGCUGCAGACAGUGGCCUGCAUUGAGAACAUGGAGGCCGAGCUUCAGGGUACAAGGGCAGAGCUAAAUGGUCUAAAGGAGAAGUCCAAAAGGUUGCAGGAGAGUUACAGUACCUCCCAGCAGUCCAACUCUUUACUGGAGCAGAAACUUCAGACCGCUACUGAGAGUAUGAACUCAGAGAGGAAGUACCUUCUACAGAGGAUUGUGGAGCUCACCAAGCAGUUGGAUACAGCUCAGAGCACUAUCAACUCCCUGGAGAACAUCAAUGUUCCCUCUCUGAUCAAAGAACUUUUGGAGAAGCACCUCAAAUCUGAGGAUGCAGUUAAGAAUCUCCAUCAUUCAGCCAACAUGAGAGACAGCAGGAACCACCAGUCUGAGAAAGCGGAAGACACAGUAUUCGAGUGGCCAAACUGCAAGCAGAGCAAUUCCAACCCUGAACCACUGAGAGUUACAGCUUUCUUGCCGUGGAAACCUGACCAGAAGCAAUGGGCGGGGCCAGGGGAGGUUGACAGGGCAGGCAUGGCGAGGGGAAGGGAAGAUGGGGAUCAUGAGAGAUGUGCAAGGAGUCAUUCCCCAAGUGUGCCAGGGGUUCCACAGCUUCCUUUCACCGUAGCCGAAAUUAGCAUGGCCUUGUUUAAAAGCACCGCAGAGGGCCAUGCACAGAGCUGUGAGAACGAACAUGGGUUCUACGCAGAGGCCCACUCAACACAGAGAUGCAUCAGCAUGCCACCAAACCCGUACGAUCUAGACAAGGUAUGUGCAGGGAAGGACGUGGCAGGAGCCGGAAAGAGGGGUGCGCGCAGCCUGGGACCCGACGAUGAUGAAAUGACCGCCAUGACAGCACAGCGCAUUCUGAAUAAUUUCUUAUGUCAGAUUCAGGCAGCACCAGCUCCACAGGAAAAGGCGGAAACGAUCACUGGUGGGGUCAUAGACUGGCCUGGUGGACCAUAG
ensembl:lncRNA uncharacterized LOC114768263